AUUGAACGCUGGCGGCAUGCUUUACACAUGCAAGUCGAACGGUAACAGGCCGCAAGGUGCUGACGAGUGGCGAACGGGUGAGUAAUGCAUCGGAACGUGCCCAGUCGUGGGGGAUAACGCAGCGAAAGCUGCGCUAAUACCGCAUACGAUCUAUGGAUGAAAGCGGGGGACCGAAAGGCCUCGCGCGAUUGGAGCGGCCGAUGUCAGAUUAGGUAGUUGGUGGGGUAAAGGCCCACCAAGCCAACGAUCUGUAGCUGGUCUGAGAGGACGACCAGCCACACUGGGACAGAGACACGGCCCAGACUCCUACGGGAGGCAGCAGUGGGGAAUUUUGGACAAUGGGCGCAAGCCUGAUCCAGCAAUGCCGCGUGCAGGAAGAAGGCCUUCGGGUUGUAAACUGCUUUUGUACGGAACGAAAAGGCUCUGGUUAAUACCUGGGGCUCAUGACGGUACCGUAAGAAUAAGCACCGGCUAACUACGUGCCAGCAGCCGCAGUAAAAC
rnacentral:rRNA from 1 species